GGCGGCGUGCUUAACACAUGCAAGUCGAACGAAGAGCGAUGGAAGCUUGCUUCUAUCAACCUUAGUGGCGAACGGGUGAGUAACGCGUAAUCAACCUGCCCUUCAGAGGGGGACAACAGUGGAAACGACUGCUAAUACCGCAUACGAUCUAACCUCGGCAUCGAGGAAAGAUGAAAGGUGGCCUCUAUUUAUAAGCUAUCACUGAAGGAGGGGAUUGCGUCUGAUUAGCUAGUUGGAGGGGUAACGGCCCACCAAGGCGAUGAUCAGUAGCCGGUCUGAGAGGAUGAACGGCCACAUUGGGACUGAGACACGGCCCAGACUCCUACGGGAGGCAGCAGUGGGGAAUCUUCCGCAAUGGACGAAAGUCUGACGGAGCAACGCCGCGUGAGUGAUGACGGCCUUCGGGUUGUAAAGCUCUGUUAAUCGGGACGAAAGGCCUUCUUGCGAACAGUAGAAGGA
rnacentral:rRNA from 1 species